UAUCUUUAUGGCAUUGUUGUAUGUGAAUCUUAUGAGUUUGGUUCAGUCUUAGUCAAAGAAUAAUUUGUCCUUCCUUAUUCCUUGGGGUUUUGAUAAUUGGCAUUUGACUUACCUUUCAUUUUAAUCAACCUACCAUCAGAUCAUUGUCCUGACUUUCAAAUUGGUACUACUUUUAAAUUUUGUUUGUAUGAGUUAUGAGUAGUUCUUGUGCAAAACAAUCAUUUAUUAUGUAUACAACUGCUGACUUAUUCUACAUUGAUAUGAUUUGUUUUUUGCUCCUUCCUUUUACUGUUUCCAUCGAUGAUUAAGAUACCCUCAGAAUAAGUGAGCCCAAUUCUAAUCUCAACAUAAAACAGGUGGAUUAUUUGUAUAACUAUCUAAAUAUUUAUAGAAGUGACUUACUUUGAAAAUUCUUUCUACAGUAGUAGUUUGGUUCUAUAAUAUGAAAAUUGGAUCUUAGUUACUUAAAACAAUCAUUUUCUGAUAGAACAGUAGGCUACUUUUAUGAAAAUGAAUGACACUUGAGACAAUGAAUAUCUUUAUACUUUAGUCCGAGGGCCAGCUUGAUUGAGAAGAUAGAGUGUGGGAAGGUGGAAAUUUGGGAAUGAAAAUCAUUUUCACUUGCUUGUAUAUUGAAAGUAUGAGAAUUCUGAAGAUUUAAUUGGUUGACGGUUGCAUGUUUUGUGCUUCUCUCAUUGUUUAUCAUAUUCUCAUCUGUGGUCCUUUUCCAUACUUGGUAGCAUGCUUUUCACAACCUUUUUCUCUGUCUCUCCUGCAGUUACUGGUUUGGGGUUUUGUUGUAGUGUAAACAAUGGAAUCGAUCACAUGAAAGUGUGAAAAAGUAACUACAGUUGCUGGAACGUCGCAUUGCAAACUGAAGGUCUUUGGGCUAUUGGGAGUGGAAAUAUGUACAAGAAAUUCGCUCUUGGAAAUGUAAUUGAACAUGCUGCGCAUGGGAGUAAAUUAGAUAUGGGACGUACCCCUUUAUAACUUUUCUGGUUGCCUGGUUGUUUUGUAUUCUUAAACUUGUUGGUGUAAGGAAAUGACACGAGACCUUUAUUUCCUAAAAUGUGCAUGUUCUACACACCAAGAAACCAACUAUAAGAUAUCCUUUUAUUGUUAUUGGUA